rnacentral:rRNA from 1 species
GUCCAGGAAAUGAAUAUUAGUUCAGCUUUAAAAAUACCAAUAAUAUAAACAAAUAUACUGUAUUUUUAAAAGUUAGUCUAAAAGGGUACAGCCUUUUAGAAACGGAUACAACCUUGACUAGAGAGUAAAACUUGACAAUACCAUAGUAGGCCCAAAAGCAGCCACCAAUUAAGAAAGCGUUAAAGCUCAACAAUAAAACUAUCUUAAUCCCAAUAACAAAUAAUCAACUCCUAGCCUUAAUACUGGACUAAUCUAUAAAAAUAGAAGCAAUAAUGUUAAUAUGAGUAACAAGAAGUAUCUUCUCCCCGCACGAGUUUAAGUCAGUACCUGAUAAUAUUCUGACUAUUAACAGCAAAAUAAGAAUAACCUAACUAUAAAUAACUUACUUAUUACACUGUUAAUCCAACACAGGAGUGCACUUAAGGAAAGAUUAAAAGAAGUAAAAGGAACUCGGCAAACACUAAACCCCGCCUGUUUACCAAAAACAUCACCUCCAGCAUAACUAGUAUUGGAGGCAUUGCCUGCCCAGUGACAACCGUUAAACGGCCGCGGUAUCCUGACCGUGCAAAGGUAGCAUAAUCAUUUGUUCUCUAAAUAAGGACUUGUAUGAAUGGCCAAACGAGGGUUUUACUGUCUCUUACUUCCAAUCAGUGAAAUUGACCUUCCCGUGAAGAGGCGGGAAUACCAUAAUAAGACGAGAAGACCCUAUGGAGCUUUAACUACUUAGUCCAAAGAAAUAAAUUUAUUAACCAAGGAAACAACAAUACUCUUUAUGGACUAACAGCUUUGGUUGGGGUGACCUCGGAGAACAGAAAAUCCUCCGAGCGAUUUUAAAGACUAGACUCACAAGUCAAAUCACACAAUCGCUUAUUGAUCCAAAAAAUUGAUCAACGGAACAAGUUACCCUAGGGAUAACAGCGCAAUCCUAUUCAAGAGUUCAUAUCGACAAUAGGGUUUACGACCUCGAUGUUGGAUCAGGACACCCCGAUGGUGCAACCGCUAUCAAAGGUUCGUUUGUUCAACGAUUAAAG